CAGCCAGAGCGCGAAACGUCAGUUUAACGUAAAAGAGAGCGAGAACAACGUCACACACCGUGGCCUUGAGUGAGCAGCAGUCUAGAGUGAGCCACGGCCGGCUUGAAUGAGCAGAGGCGGGCAGUUUGAGAACGGUGCGGCAGGCGGACUCUACGAAGGCACGUACCUUGGUCUUGCAUCAACCACAUGUGACGACCCCAGGCUGGACGCCGCUUCGUCCACAGUGAAAGCUGAUUCGGCGAUCCACAGCACAAAGUUGUUGUAUUUUCUUAGCGACCAGCAUGGAUCAGUUCCAGGCAUGACGAAAUGGAUAUCAUCCUCUUUUGGAAGGCCAUACAAAGUAGUUUCGCUAUCACAGUGAAACACACAGCUUCUAUACGACAUGGCGGCAAGAAUAAAAGCUCUAUAUGAGCCCACAGGUAACAGAUGUCACACGGGAGUUGUCGACUUUAUGAGGCCUCGGAGAGCAUGUGUCAGACCUUCACAGUGAGCAACGAGCGAGAGAGUCUCAUUUUUAGGUUUGAACUUGUGAUGUCUCUUGCUCCAGGCAAGAAAUAUUCCUCUGAGCCCCAUCAUCUCAUGUUCAUUUGGGGAGACUGAGCCCCCCCAAAACUGAAAUCCAAGAACCGCCUCUGGGGAUGCCUGGUCUGCGGGUGUGAUUAGUGUGCCAGGGUGAUGUGUGUGGUCAGAAAGUCCAACUCCAUGAGCUACCAUGACAGAUUUCAAAUAAAAAAAUUCAGGGGGUUCCUGCACCAGCCAGACUGUGUCAUUGAGUGGUGGGAAACGCAUGACAGGUGUGCAGUGAGAGAUGGUUCCAUGCCGUCGCCGCUUCCCCUGGGCGUGACCGCGGUCAGACUGCUGUUCCAGCCCGAUGGGUUCAGGUACCCAUGUGGCCAAGAGAAGAAAAUACGAGAAAAAGAGACGAUUAACAUGAGACUGCUUUGACACUGCUAAUUUAGGAAAAACUGUGAGUGAUUUUGUUGUAAAAAGAAGAAAUAAUAUAAGGGAGAAAAAGAAAAGAUGAAUUUAAGUCAUUUUACUUUUAUUAGCCCCUUUACAGCCCCUUUACUUGUGUUUUUUCUAUCAAGACAACUCUUGGAAGCUUUAAGCAUGGUAAUGUAUAUGCCAAUGUUAAUAUAUUUGUUCUUGCCAGAAUAGGUCUUCUGUGCUGCUGGAUUUCUGCUGUUGUUGUAGAUUAUUACUGCAAAAAAAAAAAAAAAUAAAGGAAAUUGCUACUGCCAAUAGACACACAUAUACGCACACACACAUGUAUAUACUGUGUAUAUAUAUAUAUAUAUAUAUAUAUAUAUAUAUAUAUAUAUAUAUAUAUAUAUACACACACACACAACCUGUAACUGGAAGGUUUGUAAAACAUU
ensembl:lncRNA